rnacentral:misc_RNA from 1 species
AAAAGAGUUCCGUUAUGAAACUUGUUGCACAACGUUGAACGUGAAUUUGAAGGAUUUUAAAGGAUAAAUCCUAUGCGUUAGAGCCAUGUCUCGUUGCGUUUUAUCGAAAUGUUAUCACUGUUUAAUGAAAACUGUAAUACCCACAAAUAAAACAAUUACAGAAAAGUUGUAUAGGCAAGUUAGGACUGGACAGUUUUUGAGGAUACCACCAUGUGAGUCAACAGCUCUAUUAUCUGUCAGACAUCAGGACCAGUCCAUGACGAAAGCUGCUGCCAAUAAAUCUCUCUUCCUAAUCACUCAGGUCAGAAGGACUCCAUAGUUCUAUCCUAGUGCUCAUGCUUUUUUUUUUCCCCACAGCAUUGAGAAUAUAAGAUUUUAAUGAUGUUUGUUAAUCAAAUUAAUCUAAAUUGAUUUUCUGAUACUAUCAUUGUUUUAAGCAAUCAUUGAUUCUUUUAUUUAGUAAAUAUAGCCUUAAUUAAAUUUGGAGCACAUGGCUCACUUGAAAUAGAUGUCAAGUCAGAAAGCCAAAUGUUACUUGUUUGAGCCCCAUUAUGGACACUUGAUGUUGGUCGUGUCCUUAGACAAGUCUCUCUAUCUACAUUAUCUUUUUCAUUGGAUGCCUAAGAUGAACUGGUGUCGGGCAGCUUGUGGAAGUCGAUGACUAUCAUACGCACCAUGAAAACAAGACAAAAGCUCCGGCCAAAUGCACCUUUGUGCUUGAAGAAGGAUUUACUUUUUAUUUCUUGAUCUAAUGCGAAUAAAGACAUGCAUAGAGUUUCAAAUUCAAGUUUUGUUUUGUUUGUUUGAUAUACAGACCCAGCAUAGAAAGAUGUCAGAUAUUGCAGAAAAGAGUAUAGCACCUUCUGUUGGCAGUAGAUGGAUGGAGAAAGUAAAGGCAUUCCUCACAAAGACUGAUAACCCAACCAAGCUACCUAUACGGCAUUUACAAGCUGCAGGAUCAAUUUUAAUCCUGUCUAUCUCAGAUUAUGUCUCCUAUGAGGAACUCCUACACAUUUGUAAUCUAGACGACACAUUUUAUUCUUUCUACAAAUUACUGGAGCUUCACACAUGGAUGGUAUUACAUCGGCUGCGACAGGAAGGAAAUGAUGGACUAGUCGCUGGGAUGGCUUUCGUAGACGCCAUGUGGAGGGACAUUGAACCUCGACUUAAAAUUGCUGGGGCCCAAAUGUCUCAGAAGACGGACGGCCUGUAUUACCUUAACAAUCACUUCAAUUCUGCUGUUGUUGCUUAUGAUGAGGUAAGUGAGAAAGACUUUGGACAUCAAUAGAAAACAGGAAUCUGUGCAACUGGUUGUCAUGCUUUUUGUUUUUAAUUGUAUAGCUCUGUUAGUUUUAUCAUUGUCUUAAAGGUAAUUUUAAUUAAUCACAUGCUUAUCAUGUGUUUAAAAAAUGUCUAAUAUUUAUUGAUUUAUAUUAUAUUGUCUUUUACAGGCUUUAACUUGAAAAUCAAUUCAUUGAUAACUUGGUUGGUAAUAAUUUUUUUGGAUGAAAUGUUUGUCAUUGAUGAUAGACAUACAUUAUACAUUAAGUAGAUAGUGUUACAAAAAAUACACAUAUUGUCAUUCUGAAUAAAGUUGUAAGAUACAAAAAAAUAGCUAUUUCACUGUAAUUUCAGGCUUUGUUGGUCAAUGAUGAUAAAGCAAUGGCUCAUGCGCUGUGGUUGAAUGUUUUUGAUGGCAGGGACUGUGAUCCUCGGAAUCUAGAACUUUUGUUGGCCUAUACCAGGAAACAGAUGCAGCAUCUUCAUAAAAUUGAGUCUAAAGUCUUCCUGAAUGGACAGAAAAUCGAAUUUUUACCUAUAGAAUUUGAUGAUGGGGAUAAACAGAUAAAAAGACGUCCAAAGAAAGAGUACCAUAUACCAAGGCCCAAAAAGAGCACGUCCAUCAUAGACUGAAGACACUGACCCUGCCCUCAUGACCUCAGUGUGGCCUUGACCCAAACCCCAUUAGGAAUACACUUCCAUCUGACAUUUGUGACAGUAACACAGCUGACUUUGGCAAGAUUUGUCUUUCAACACUUAUUUAUUGCAUGUAUCUAGGUCACUGCAUUUGUCUGUGUCGGACAGAAGGUACAGAUAGUUCUUAAUUGAUAUGUUAAAAUAAAAGUAUUAUAAAAUG